GAGAACGUACAUAAUUUGUCGGAAAUUAAUCGGUAAGUUCCGAUAUAAAAAUUUCAUCGGAAGUUUAUCGAAACGUACUCUCGGAAUUUUCUCAGAAACGACAAUGGCAUUGCUUUCUCGGUAAGACGUCAUAAGAAUAGACGCAAUUUCAUCGGAACCGAUUAUUAUUUCAAUUUGUAUUUUAACUUUAUCAUUUUUAUUAACUUUACCAUUAUUCAGCUAUUAAAAAAUACUGAGAAAUCUUCACAGCCAUUCAUUUUCAUUGUUUAUCUUUAUCUUUUUCCUUUCCUUUACUUCUCUCCGUCAAUUUUCUUUUUUGUUUUGAUAAGUCCGUCAAUUUUCUUAGUUAAUUUUUUUCUUCUCCUCGACUUAUUCUUUGAUUUUUUCUAUCUUCUCUCUCGUUUCUUUUUCCCUUCGUCUCACACUGUCUCUUUAACUAGAUCUGUUCUUCUUUCUUUUUCAGAUCUGUUAUUUUAUAUGGAAAAGACAAGUCAACUCUUUUACACGACCAUCUUUCCCGACACGACAAUCCUCCACGUCCACUAACACCGCCGUUUCUUCACGACCUUCGCUGCCGCAGUUUCUUCCACAGCCACCAUCAUCCCUGUUCUGUUUCUUCCAGUUCCACGGCCACCAUUCUCGCCGACUCGCCGUUUAAUCCACGGCACCACCCUCACCGUUUCUUCCUUGCCGUCGCCGUUUCUUCCACCACCGCUCAACCGUAGAUCUUCUAACUGCCAAAAUAAAUUAGUUUAUUAUAUUUUAUGUUAGAUUUACAUUCUUGUAAUAAAUAUUUUAUGAUUUUAUUUUAAAUUUACAUUUUUG
rnacentral:lncRNA from 1 species